rnacentral:rRNA from 1 species
UACGGGGGGGGCAAGCGUUGUUCGGAAUUACUGGGCGUAAAGGGCUCGUAGGCGGCCAACUAAGUCGGAUGUGAAAUCCCCAGGCUUAACCUGGGAACUGCAUCCGAUACUGGAUGGCUUGAAUCCGGGAGAGGGAUGCAGAAUUCCAGGUGUAGCGGUGAAAUGCGUAGAUAUCAAGAGGAACACCUGAGGUGAAGACGGGUUGCUGGGCCGACACUGACGCUGACAGCGCGAAAGCUAGGGUAGCAAACGGG